rnacentral:rRNA from 1 species
GGUUAAGCGACUAAGCGUACACGGUGGAUGCCCUGGCAGUCAGAGGCGAUGAAGGACGUGCUAAUCUGCGAUAAGCGUCGGUAAGGUGAUAUGAACCGUUAUAACCGGCGAUUUCCGAAUGGGGAAACCCAGUGUGUUUCGACACACUAUCAUUAACUGAAUCCAUAGGUUAAUGAGGCGAACCGGGGGAACUGAAACAUCUAAGUACCCCGAGGAAAAGAAAUCAACCGAGAUUCCCCCAGUAGCGGCGAGCGAACGGGGAGCAGCCCAGAGCCUGAAUCAGUGUGUGUGUUAGUGGAAGCGUCUGGAAAGGCGCGCGAUACAGGGUGACAGCCCCGUACACAAAAAUGCACAUGCUGUGAGCUCGAUGAGUAGGGCGGGACACGUGGUAUCCUGUCUGAAUAUGGGGGGACCAUCCUCCAAGGCUAAAUACUCCUGACUGACCGAUAGUGAACCAGUACCGUGAGGGAAAGGCGAAAAGAACCCCGGCGAGGGGAGUGAAAAAGAACCUGAAACCGUGUACGUACAAGCAGUGGGAGCACGCUUCGGCGUGUGACUGCGUACCUUUUGUAUAAUGGGUCAGCGACUUAUAUUCUGUAGCAAGGUUAACCGAAUAGGGGAGCCGAAGGGAAACCGAGUCUUAACUGGGCGUUAAGUUGCAGGGUAUAGACCCGAAACCCGGUGAUCUAGCCAUGGGCAGGUUGAAGGUUGGGUAACACUAACUGGAGGACCGAACCGACUAAUGUUGAAAAAUUAGCGGAUGACUUGUGGCUGGGGGUGAAAGGCCAAUCAAACCGGGAGAUAGCUGGUUCUCCCCGAAAGCUAUUUAGGUAGCGCCUCGUGAAUUCAUCUCCGGGGGUAGAGCACUGUUUCGGCAAGGGGGUCAUCCCGACUUACCAACCCGAUGCAAACUGCGAAUACCGGAGAAUGUUAUCACGGGAGACACACGGCGGGUGCUAACGUCCGUCGUGAAGAGGGAAACAACCCAGACCGCCAGCUAAGGUCCCAAAGUCAUGGUUAAGUGGGAAACGAUGUGGGAAGGCCCAGACAGCCAGGAUGUUGGCUUAGAAGCAGCCAUCAUUUAAAGAAAGCGUAAUAGCUCACUGGUCGAGUCGGCCUGCGCGGAAGAUGUAACGGGGCUAAACCAUGCACCGAAGCUGCGGCAGCGACGCU